rnacentral:rRNA from 1 species
GAUUUCUGGUAUGGUGCGCCUGGCCUGCCAUCUUUACGGUGGUGUGUGCUGGUGUGCGCCUACCAUCCUUCUAGGGACCGGGCUCUGCCCUUCACUGGGUUGGGGUUCGUGAACUAGAUCUUUUACUUUGAAAAAAUUAGAGUGUUUAAAGCAGGCUAUUGCUCUGAAUACAUUAGCAUGGAAUAAUAAUUUAGGACUUUGUUCUUAUUUUGUUGGUUUCUAAGGAUGAAGUAAUGAUUGAUAGGGACAGUUGGGGGUGCUAGUAUUCAGCGGCCAGAGGUGAAAUUCUUGGAUUCGCUGAAGACUAACUUAUGCGAAAGCAUU